ACAAGCGAAUAAGUGCACAUGGUGGAUGCCUUGGCGAUUACAGGCGAUGAAGGACGUAGUAGCUUGCGAUAAGCUGCGGGGAGUGAGCAAACACACUUUGAUCCGCAGAUUUCCGAAUGGGGAAACCCGGCCUUUUAGGUCAUUGCAUACUGAAUACAUAGGUAUGCAAAGCGAACGCGGCGAACUGAAACAUCUAAGUAGCUGCAGGAAAAGAAAUCAACCGAGAUUCCCAAAGUAGUGGCGAGCGAAAUGGGAUGAGCCUGUACGUGAUAGUCGAAUUGAUAGUGGAAGCUUCUGGAAAUAAGCGCCAUAGCGGGUGAUAGCCCCGUACACGAAAUCUCUUCGGUGGUACUAAGCGUACGACAAGUAGGGCGGGACACGAGAAAUCCUGUCUGAACAUGGGGGGACCAUCCUCCAAGGCUAAAUACUCGUAAUCGACCGAUAGUGAACCAGUACCGUGAGGGAAAGGCGAAAAGAACCCCGGGAGGGGAGUGAAAUAGAUCCUGAAACCGUGUGCAUACAAACAGUCGGAGCCUCUUUAUGGGGUGACGGCGUACCUUUUGUAUAAUGGGUCAGCGACUUACAUUCAGUGGCGAGGUUAACCGAAUAGGGGAGCCGUAGAGAAAUCGAGUCCGAACAGGGCGACAGUCGCUGGGUGUAGACCCGAAACCAAGUGAUCUACCCAUGGCCAGGAUGAAGGUGCGGUAACACGCCCUGGAGGUCCGAACCCACUAAUGUUGAAAAAUUAGGGGAUGAGCUGUGGGUAGGGGUGAAAGGCUAAACAAACUUGGAAAUAGCUGGUUCUCUCCGAAAACUAUUUAGGUAGUGCCUCAAGUAUCACCAUCGGGGGUAGAGCACUGUUAUGGCUAGGGGGUCAUUGCGACUUACCAAACCAUUGCAAACUCCGAAUACCGAUGAGUGCGAGCUUGGGAGACAGACGUCGGGUGCUAACGUCCGGCGUCAAGAGGGAAACAACCCAGACCGCCAGCUAAGGUCCCAAAGAUUGGCUAAGUGGAAAACGAAGUGGGAAGGCUAAAACAGUCAGGAUGUUGGCUUAGAAGCAGCCACCAUUUAAAGAAAGCGUAAUAGCUCACUGAUCGAGUCGUCCUGCGCGGAAGAUGUAACGGGGCUAAGCCAGUCACCGAAGCUGCGGAUAUGGCUAAAACAGUCAGGAUGUUGGCUUAGAAGCAGCCACCAUUUAAAGAAAGCGUAAUAGCUCACUGAUCGAGUCGUCCUGCGCGGAAGAUGUAACGGGGCUAAGCCAGUCACCGAAGCUGCGGAUAUAUUUCUCGUGAUUUAUCACUUGAUCUAUAUGGUAGGAGAGCGUUCUGUAAGCCUGCGAAGGUGUCUUGUGAAGGAUGCUGGAGGUAUCAGAAGUGCGAAUGCUGACAUGAGUAGCGAUAAUGCGGGUGAAAAGCCCGCACGCCGUAAGCCCAAGGUUUCCUGUUCAACGUUCAUCGGAGCAGGGUGAGUCGGCCCCUAAGGCGAGGCAGAGAUGCGUAGCUGAUGGGAAGCAGGUUAAUAUUCCUGCACCGUCGUAUGAUGCGAUGGGGGGACGGAUCGCGGAAGGUUGUCUAACUGUUGGAAUAGUUAGUUUUUGACUCAUAGAAGGUGCUUAGGCAAAUCCGGGCACGUAAUUCAAGGGGUCGAGACGAGGGACUUAGGUCCUGAAGCAAUCGGAAGUGGUUCCAAGAAAAGCCUCUAAGCUUCAGUCAUACGAGACCGUACCGCAAACCGACACAGGUGGGCGAGAUGAGUAUUCUAAGGCGCUUGAGGGCUAAAACAGUCAGGAUGUUGGCUUAGAAGCAGCCACCAUUUAAAGAAAGCGUAAUAGCUCACUGAUCGAGUCGUCCUGCGCGGAAGAUGUAACGGGGCUAAGCCAGUCACCGAAGCUGCGGAUAUCUAGCAAUAGAUAUGGUAGGAGAGCGUUCUGUAAGCCUGCGAAGGUGUCUUGUGAAGGAUGCUGGAGGUAUCAGAAGUGCGAAUGCUGACAUGAGUAGCGAUAAUGCGGGUGAAAAGCCCGCACGCCGUAAGCCCAAGGUUUCCUGUUCAACGUUCAUCGGAGCAGGGUGAGUCGGCCCCUAAGGCGAGGCAGAGAUGCGUAGCUGAUGGGAAGCAGGUUAAUAUUCCUGCACCGUCGUAUGAUGCGAUGGGGGGACGGAUCGCGGAAGGUUGUCUAACUGUUGGAAUAGUUAGUUUUUGACUCAUAGAAGGUGCUUAGGCAAAUCCGGGCACAUAAUUCAAGGGGUUGAGACGAGGGACUUAGGUCCUGAAGCAAUCGGAAGUGGUUCCAAGAAAAGCCUCUAAGCUUCAGUCAUACGAGACCGUACCGCAAACCGACACAGGUGGGCGAGAUGAGUAUUCUAAGGCGCUUGAGAGAACUCGGGAGAAGGAACUCGGCAAAUUGGUACCGUAACUUCGGGAUAAGGUACGCCCCGGUAGCUUGACUGCUUUACUGCAGAAGGGCGAAAGGGUUGCAAUAAACUGGUGGCUGCGACUGUUUAAUAAAAACACAGCACUCUGCAAACACGAAAGUGGACGUAUAGGGUGUGACGCCUGCCCGGUGCUGGAAGAUUAAAUGAUGGGGUGCAAGCUCUUGAUUGAAGUCCCAGUAAACGGCGGCCGUAACUAUAACGGUCCUAAGGUAGCGAAAUUCCUUGUCGGGUAAGUUCCGACCUGCACGAAUGGCGUAACGAUGGCCACACUGUCUCCUCCCGAGACUCAGCGAAGUUGAAAUGUUUGUGAUGAUGCAAUCUACCCGCGGCUAGACGGAAAGACCCCAUGAACCUUUACUGUAGCUUUGCAUUGGACUUUGAACCAAUCUGUGUAGGAUAGGUGGGAGGCUUUGAAGCGGGGACGCCAGUUCUCGUGGAGCCAUCCUUGAAAUACCACCCUGGUUUGUUUGAGGUUCUAACCUUGGUCCGUUAUCCGGAUCGGGGACAGUGCAUGGUAGGCAGUUUGACUGGGGCGGUCUCCUCCUAAAGUGUAACGGAGGAGUUCGAAGGUACGCUAGGUACGGUCGGACAUCGUGCUAAUAGUGCAAUGGCAUAAGCGUGCUUAACUGCGAGACCGACAAGUCGAGCAGGUACGAAAGUAGGACAUAGUGAUCCGGUGGUUCUGUAUGGAAGGGCCAUCGCUCAACGGAUAAAAGGUACUCUGGGGAUAACAGGCUGAUUCCUCCCAAGAGUUCAUAUCGACGGGGGAGUUUGGCACCUCGAUGUCGGCUCAUCACAUCCUGGGGCUGUAGCCGGUCCCAAGGGUAUGGCUGUUCGCCAUUUAAAGUGGUACGUGAGCUGGGUUUAAAACGUCGUGAGACAGUUUGGUCCCUAUCUGCCGUGGGCGUUGGAAAUUUGAAGGGGGCUGCUCCUAGUACGAGAGGACCGGAGUGGACGAACCUCUGGUGUACCGGUUGUCACGCCAGUGGCAUUGCCGGGUAGCUAAGUUCGGAAGAGAUAACCGCUGAAAGCAUCUAAGCGGGAAACUUGCCUUGAGAUGAGAUUUCCCGGAGCCUUGAGCUCCUUGAAGGGUCGUUCGAGACCAGGACGUUGAUAGGCUGGGUGUGGAAGUGCAGUAAUGCAUUAAGCUAACCAGUACUAAUUGCCCGUACGGCUUGUCCCU
rnacentral:rRNA from 1 species